UCACAUUUUUGUUCACUAUACUCUGAAGCCAAUGUCAUUUGAAUCUCAAAAGUCAAAAGGACCCCAGCUGACAUCUGGGGUACAAAUAUCUUGUGAUUAACAGUUUUCAAAUGAGUGAAAUUGGGGCUGAGCUGAGUUUUGAUUGCAGAGUCUUUCCGUGUUCUUGGAAACCAGAGUCAGAUCAGUGCUCACAAACAGAAGCCCCAUCAGCCCGUGGAGGAGAGAGCCCAUUGGGACAGCCCUGGCAUGGAGGGCAUGCAUCGUUCCCAUCUCUGGGAACCAGACCAGCACUAGCCAGAUGUUAGGAAUGUGAGAGGGUAGCAGAGGAACUGACCCUGAUCUAGAAAAGUUGCAAGCCAGAUCCAGGAAAGUCCCGAAGAAGCCAGUUCAAGUUAAGCUGGACCUCUAAGGUCCAGGCAGUAUCCACAAUUACAACCUCUUUUCUUGGCUUGUAAUGAUGAACUUGAGUAACCUGAGCAGGCCCAAGGAGUCAGGUCUCUAGAAGCCUGGGUGGUCAGUGGAGGCCUGUGUGUGUGCCCCCAGCCACCAGGGAGCAAGCAGAAACUGGUGUCAGAGAGAUGUAGUGGAGACAUGUUGGCAAAGCAGUGAGGACCCAAGGAGGGAAGACCAAAACAAGAACUGUGAGAGGGAUGGUGAGAGGAAAGUCCAUGAGGACAGAGGAACAAGUAGUUGUUUGCAUUUGCUUCCCCAGCCCUUUGGCAUAGUAAGGCUGGGCCAAUUUAAAGGGCUUCUGCCAGAAAUGGCAAUAAUGAUUACGUGGCUGCAUUUGAUUCUUCAAGGCACUCUGACUGGUUUAGACCUCUGAGUCUACAAUCAGCCAUCAACCAGGCCUGCUUCCAGAGGCAGCAUCUUCUGGAAACAAAAGGGAAUUUUCUCAUAACCCUUUUAAGAAUCCUGAGAUUACAGAAAUUGGGAAGAUAAAAUUAUUGUGAGAUAAGAAUACUGUUAUUUGGCAAGUGGCGUUGGUGUUAAAAUAAAUUUUUAAAAAAAGAAUAAUGUGUGCAGAAAGGUGGAUCAGCAGCUUUAUAAGAUGUAGGUUCAGGGGCUAAUGAAGGCAUAGUGCCCCCCAAUACUGUCCCAACUUCCUCAUGGUGGCUGAAUUUGCUCCAUCAGUAAUGUGUCUUCUCUCCAACAGCCCUCUCCAGCACUCCAGCACAGAGUUUUCUGGAAUAUAUCUAUCCCCCAGCCAUGGACUUGUGUACUCAGCUCACUAGCUCGCCAGAAAUAACAAGUACCUGGGGACCUCAUGACUAUUCAGCACUGGGGGAAGAGGGUGGUGGGGAAGGUGGAUUUGGGCUAAUUUUCUCCCUUUUUCCUGUUCUGCCAAUACCUCCCAUCCCAGAGAACAAUCAGAUGCCAUCAAAUGAGCAAUAGAAACUAAUAUGGAUUUAAUGAAAUGAGGGCCUUGGAUUGACAGUAUUUUGUUUUAAGGACUCUCUGGGCUCUGGCAGCAUAAUUUAUUCAUAACCUGCUACUCCCCAGGAAGGGAAGACAGAUGGUUUAUCUAUUUCCAAGUUGGAGGUUGGAAAACUAAGAUCAAUAGGCAUGAUCCCAUGGCAAACGCUGCUGUCUGGCUGUGCUCCAAAUCGCUCUCCGCCUUUGUCCUCCUCCCACUCUAAAGAAUGAAAAUGCCAGAGAUUCAUGUUACAAGCUUCCUUUGCAACUGAAGGCAGUAUAACAGAACUAUGCCAGUAGGCCUCUGGGAAGGAUUUCUCUUCUCUGAUCACAGGAGGGAGGCAUGCAAAGAUAACACUCUUCUGUGACCCUCCUUUCUGCCUUUGGAUGUUGUUAGGUGAGGAUAACCCUGGAAGCUGUGGCAGCCAUCUUGUGGCCAUGAGGGGAAGGCCAGAGACUGGCUAAGAUAACAACCUGGUGCCUUGAUGUCAUGGAAGUGCUAAACUUACCCUGGAACCACCUUUGUCCAGAUUUCUUGUAGACUA
rnacentral:lncRNA from 1 species